UACGUAGGGUGCGAGCGUUGUCCGGAAUUAUUGGGCGUAAAGAGCUCGUAGGCGGUUUGUCGCGUCUGCUGUGAAAACUCGGGGCUCAACUCCGAGCUUGCAGUGGGUACGGGCAGACUAGAGUGCGGUAGGGGAGUGUGGAAUUCCUGGUGGAGCGGUGAAAUGCGCAGAUAUCAGGAGGAACACCCGUGGCGAAAGCGGCUCUCUGGGACGGUACUGACGCUGAGACGCGAAAGCGUGGGGAGCAAACAGG
rnacentral:rRNA from 1 species